GAUGAAGAACGUAGCGAAAUGCGAUAAGUAAUGUGAAUUGCAGAAUCCAGUGAAUCAUCGAAUCUUUGAACGCACAUUGCGCCCGCCAGUAUUCUGGCGGGCAUGCCUGUUCGAGCGUCAUUUCAACCAUCAAGCCCCCGGGCUUGUGUUGGGGACCUGCGGCUGCCGCAGGCCCUGAAAAGCAGUGGCGGGCUCGCUGUCACACCGAGCGUAGUAGAUUUUAUCUCGCUCUGGGCGUGCUGCGGGUUCCGGCCGUUAAACCACCCUUUUAACCCAAGGUUGACCUCGGAUCAGGUAGGAAGACCCGCUGAACUUAAGCAUAUCAAUAAGCGGAGGA
rnacentral:misc_RNA from 1 species